GAAGACGUUUCUAUGGAUGCUGUGAGAGUGGUGCUAACUGCACGCCGAACGGAUAACGCGGUACUUGGAGUAAUUAUGAGCAAAAGAAGGAAAAAUCAUUCAAUUGGAGCUGAAAGGAGCAAAGUCGUCACUUCGCAGGCGACUGAUAUUUGGAGCCUGCUAAAGUUGCAAGGAGGAAGUAAAGAAUGAACUGUCAGUUCCCCGCAACUGACAGUGGAGCAAGAAAGCGAAUGGAGUGUCAGUUAUCUGGAACAGACAUGCCAAGUUAUUUGAGGUGGCCCUUAUCCAGUAGAGCAGGGUGGCAAUAUAAAUUUCAAUCAUUACAACCCUACAAUCGGGAAUAGUCUUCUUCAUUACACCUGAAAUAGAGAAAGAAACUAAGAAGGCAUGGCGGCAAGGGAAAUUCAGAGGGGGAAGAGAGAUUUUGAGAUCAGAGAAAAGAAGAUUGAGAAGAUGAUGCUGCUAUGGAUCGAUAUAGAUGGGUCUGUGGUGUUUGAUGGCUAUACGAUUCAGAUGAGAGAGAUCGAGAUGUUGUUUUGCUGUUGAUUCAAGGAAUUUUGAGAAGAUGAUGGAGAUGAAGGUACAGAUGAAGGAAUUUUGAAUGGGCUGGAGUUGUUUGUCAGUUCUACAAGACUGACAAGCUUAACAAUUGAAUGGGCUUAUGGGCUUUGUAAGGCCUGAGUAGUAGUUGUGCGUAUGGGUAUGUGAUAUGGGCCAUAUGGUCGGUAUUCUGAAAACUUAGUCUGGGGGUAUAAAAGAAAACCCUUCUCUACACAAGAGGGGAUAUCUUAUUAUCUUCUUCUCUACUUUUGUUCUAGGGUUUAGACAUGGAAACUCUUCUCUUUAUCCUUGCUAUGAACUCCAUUAACAUAAGCUAGUUUUUAUUAUUGGUUAAGAAAUAAGUUGAAUUUCCAAA